ACUCCUACGGGAGGCAGCAGUGGGGAAUAUUGCACAAUGGGGGAAACCCUGAUGCAGCCAUGCCGCGUGUGUGAAGAAGGCCUUCGGGUUGUAAAGCACUUUCAGUAGGGAGGAAGGUAGUGUAGUUAACACCUGCAUUAUUUGACGUUACCUACAGAAGAAGCACCGGCUAACUCCGUGCCAGCACGCCGCGGUAACGUAACGGAGGGUGCGAGCGUUAAUCGGAAUUACUGGGCGUAAAGCGCAUGCAGGCGGCCUGUUAAGUCAGAUGUGAAAGCCCGGGGCUUAACCUCGGAAUUGCAUUUGAAACUGGCAGGCUAGAGUCUUGUAAGAGGGGUAGAAUUUCAGGUGUAGCGGUGAAAUGCGUAGAGAUCUGAAGGAUACCAGUGGCGAAGGCGGCCCCUGGACAAAGACUGACGCUCAGAUGCGAAAGCGUGGGAGCAAACAGGAUUAGAUACCCCUGGUAGACUGUCA
rnacentral:rRNA from 1 species